GUCGAAGGUGGGGCUGAUGACUGGGGUGAAGUCGUAACAAGGUAUCCGUACCGGAAGGUGCGGAUGGAUCACCUCCUAACAGGGAGACAAACAACGAUUUUGAUGCCUGAGUGUUUUUAUUCUUAGGCCGAAAUCCUGUCACCUUAGGUCGAUCGGUACCUCAGAUUUGAAAUCAAGAUAAUGCAGCAAUGUGUCGUGCUUGAUGGAGAUUUUCAGUUCCUAAACUUUGUCUAGGUCACACCCCAAAAGGGAUGAGACUCCUGGGCCAUUAGCUCAGGUGGUUAGAGCGCACCCCUGAUAAGGGUGAGGUCCCUGGUUCAAGUCCAGGAUGGCCCAUUCGGUGUUGGGGGUUUAGCUCAGUUGGUAGAGCGCCUGCUUUGCAAGCAGGAUGUCAGGAGUUCGAGUCUCCUAACCUCCACUGACCGAACUUUAUCCCCAUCUCCAAAUUGUUGGAGUUGAGCUCGAUUGGAGUGUGAUUUAGAUGUGUCCGCUGGAUGACCCCAGCUUCCUGUCAUUCCAAGUUUAAAAGUGAAAGCUUUGAAUUUGGUUGAUAAGAUGCUGGGCUCGAACUGAGCAAUCAGUUUGAAGUUCUAGCAGAACCUUGACAACUGCAUAGGUGAAGUCUGGAAAAACAAAGCAUCUUACAGAUGCAUUGUUUUGAGUCUAAUUUUUCGAAAGAGAGAUUAGAACCAGAACAAUGAAAAUUCUUUUGAGCAAGAGCCGAGACUCUUGAAUGUUCUUUGAUUCGUGUCGAGCGAAUCAGAGUUUGAUCUUGUUUUUAGUAAUAAAAACUUGAGAAUCUGCUUUCAACGGCGGUAAGCGUUCAAGAGGUUAAUUGGUCAAGCUACAAAGGGCUCACGG
rnacentral:misc_RNA from 1 species